AACGCGAAGAACCUUACCUAGGCUUGACAGUUGGGGAAAUCUGGCAGAGAUGUCAGGUCCGUAAGGGCCCCAAAACAGGUGGUGCAUGGCUGUCGUCAGCUCGUGUCGUGAGAUGUUGGGUUAAGUCCCGCAACGAGCGCAACCCUCGUCGUAUGUUGCCAGCGGAUAAUGCCGGGGACUCAUACGAGACUGCCGGGGUCAACUCGGAGGAAGGUGGGGACGACGUCAAGUCAUCAUGCCCCUUAUGUCUAGGGCUGCACGCAUGCUACAAUGGCCGGUACAGAGGGCUGCGAAACCGCAAGGUGGAGCGAAUCCCAAAAAGCCGGUCUCAGUUCGGAUUGGGGUCUGCAACUCGACCCCAUGAAGUCGGAGUCGCUAGUAAUCGCAGAUCAGCAACGCUGCGGUGAAUACGUUCCCGGGCCUUGUACACACCG
rnacentral:rRNA from 1 species